rnacentral:lncRNA from 1 species
GGGGGAGAAGUUGAGGGGUGGGUGGUGGAGAAAAGUGGAUAAAGGUGGUAGAAGAAGGCGGAUGAGGUGGAGAGGUUAAGUGGUGGGAGAAAAUGGCACACGAGAAAGGGUGAUUAUUUUUUAUAUUUAUAUUUUUGUUUUAUUUUUUAUUUUAGAAUUAAAUAUAAUUACUUUAAAUGUCAUGUUAGCUAUUUUGUAAUGUUUUUGUCUCCAUGUCAACUUUUAAUGUCUAUGUUAGCAAACGAUGCUUGACGGAAUUAGCGAACAUUUGAAAUCUGUGUCAUAAUAGACAUUUUCAAUUGAUUAUACCAUUCUGUUCAAGAUCCAAUUGAUUGGGCCUCUUAAAAUUAGUAUUCUAUAUUUUUU